rnacentral:rRNA from 1 species
UCGAGGGGCAGCACGGUGUAGCAAUACACUGGUGGCGACCGGCGCACGGGUGCGUAACGCGUAUGCAACCUACCCAUAACAGGGGGAUAACACUGAGAAAUUGGUACUAAUACCCCAUAACAUCAGGACCGGCAUCGGUUCUGGUUGAAAACUCCGGUGGUUAUAGAUGGACAUGCGUUGUAUUAGCUAGUUGGUGAGGUAACGGCUCACCAAGGCAACGAUACAUAGGGGGACUGAGAGGUUAACCCCACACUGGUACUGAGAUACGGCCCAGACUCC